rnacentral:rRNA from 1 species
GGAUUAGAUACCCCGGUAGUCCACGCCCUAAACGAUGAUAACUCGAUGUUGGCGAUAUACAGUCAGCGUCCAAGCGAAAGCGUUAAGUUAUCCACCUGGGGAGUACGCCCGCAAGGGUGAAACUCAAAGGAAUUGACGGGGGCCCGCACAAGCGGAGGAGCAUGUGGUUUAAUUCGAUGAUACGCGAGGAACCUUACCCGGGCUUGAAAGUUACUGAAGUGCUCAGAGAUGAGCACGUCCUUCGGGACGAGGAAACGUAGGUGCUGCAUGGCUGUCGUCAGCUCGUGCCGUG